rnacentral:rRNA from 1 species
UACGAGGGGUGCAAGCGUUGUUCGGAAUUAUUGGGCGUAAAGGGCAGGUAGGUGGUCUUGAAAGUCUGCUGUGAAAUCCCCGGGCUUAACCUGGGAAGUGCGGCAGAUACUCCAAGACUAGAGUACUGGAGGGGUUCGUGGAAUUCCCGGUGUAGCGGUGAAAUGCGUAGAUAUCUGGAGGAACACCGGUGGCGAAGGCGGCGUUCUGGACUGCAACUGACACUGAGGAACGAAAGCCAGGGGAGCAAACGGG